rnacentral:rRNA from 1 species
UACGUAGGGGCCGAGCGUUGUCCGGAGUUACUGGGCGUAAAGCGCGCGCAGGCGGCUCGUCAAGCCUGACGUGAAAGCCCCCGGCUCAACCGGGGAGGGUCGUCGGGGACUGGCGGGCUUGAGGUCGGCAGGGGUUGGUGGAAUUCCCGGUGUAGUGGUGAAAUGCGUAGAGAUCGGGAGGAACACCCGUGGCGAAGGCAGGUCUCUGGGCAUUAACUGACGCUGAGGAGCGAAAGCAUGGGGGAGCGAACAGG